UACGUAGGUGGCAAGCGUUGUCCGGAGUUAUUGGGCGUAAAGCGCGCGCAGGCGGUGCGGUAAGUCUCUGGUGAAAGCGCUCGGCUUAACUGGGCGAGGGCCGGGGAGACUGCCACGCUGGAGGGGAGCAGAGGCGAGUGGAAUUCCGGGUGUAGUGGUGAAAUGCGUAGAGAUCCGGAGGAACACCAGUGGCGAAGGCGGCUCGCUGGGCUCUACCUGACGCUGAGGCGGCGAAAAGCGUGGGGAGCGAACCGG
rnacentral:rRNA from 1 species